GCUCCCUCUGCCAGGAGGAGAAUGAAGACAUGGUACAAGAUGCGCUGCAGCAGAACCCGGGCGCCUUCAGGCUAGCUCCCGCCCUGCCUGCCCGGCCCCACCGAGGCCUGAGCACGUUCCCGGGUGCCGAGCACUGCCUCCGGGCUUCCCCCAAGACCACGCUUAGCGGUGGCUUCUUCGUUGCUGUAAUUGAACGGGUCGAGAUGCCGACCUCAGCCUCACAGGCCAAAGCAUCAGCACCAGAACGCACACCCAGCCCAGCCCCAAAGAGAAAGAAGAGAGCAAAAAGCUGCAGCCGGUGCUUGCACACCGCCUUGCACAUAGCAGAGGCUCCGGGCUCACUCCUUCCUGGUGGGAAAGGAAGAUGCCUGUCCUCUCCGUGGAAGACCCUGGGCCCUCACCGCAGGCAGCAGUUUGCGUUUUGAAAGGUUAUUGGGUCCCUUCCUCGGGCUGUGUUCUUGCUGGUGAGCAAAAGUGUUGCCUGCAGAAAUAAAAUGCAGAACGUACUCUACGAUAGAUCACAGUUUUUUAUUCUUAAUGUCACAAGCAGGAGAAAAAUCUCACAUUCAUACUAAAAAUUCCAACUAGACUCAACAGGAAUGAAGUCUCUAUUUGUAAUGGAAAGUCCCAGCCUCCCGCUGCCGUCCAGUGCGUGUACUGUACACAUCCACACUCAUUCUCACUCAGGGUUCCCGGACCGGCUGUCCUGCCUGCGGAACUGAGGUAAACUAGCUCAGGUACUGACACUAGGAGGGUCUACCUUACAUAAGGUACAGGUAGAAGCUUGAUUGCUAGGCCCAGGCCCACCCAGACCCUCCAAUCCUAACAGGUAUUUAGGCUUGAGGUUCACUCCCUCCUCAGCUGCACACGCAGCCAGGUAUUAACGAGGAUCAGAGCUGUUCUGAGGGGUGGGAAGGAGCAGCCCCGCCACCACUCACUCACCCUCAGUCACAUCGGGGAGGGGGCACCAGUUACAUUUACAUCACAUUAUUUAUAAAAUAAGAAUUACAUUUCAUAUAACAUGGCCAGAAGGAGCUCUAGUCCCCCAGGAAAGCUGCCGGGGACAGCAUUUGAGCCUCUUCUUUGCACAGGCAUAACUUAACUAUACAGCUAAUUCCUAGUUAAUAGCAUUUAUACUUAACCACCUCAAUGAACCAAGCUUGAAGGAAUUUAAAAGGCAAUUUAGCUUAAAUACAAAAAUAAAUUUUUGUUAAAAAACGUUUAAAUAUUUUUUUCUUUUAAUUUAGACACACGCAUUCAUACUUCUCCCAAAGAGGUUGGGCGUGGCAGCAAGGCGCUUGGGCCUGGGGUAUGUGGUUUCAGAAGGACGGAAGGAAAGGAUGGGCUGCAGAGGGCCCUGUUUGGGAAAAAUAGGAUUUUAAAAAUAUGGUUCAUUAAUUUAGGUUUUCUAACAUCUACUUUGGGUGAUGUAGCCUCCAGUGAGGUCAGUUAAGUGGGACAGAAACGGCAGAGGGAAGAGGUCUUUGCUUCCCCUGGGCCCAUUCUCCCUGGCUGCCAGCCCUUGAAGUCAGAACACCAUGGGAAAAUUCAGGAGUCGGCACUUGUAGCCGUCAAGUGGUGCUACUUUCCACAUUCAAUUAGCGAGGCCCCAGAAAACUUGAAACAGGAAGUCCGGCACUACCAACAUGCCGCCACUCAUACAACUCAACUCUUCCUCCAAACUCGAUUCAAAGAGCAAUACACAGAGCAUCAGACAAAGGAACACAGGACAAGGCUUGAAACAUACAAUCCUGGAGAGGCAGACGAGGGCCCAAUGGGGCCAAAGGGUAGCUGGGCGAGGAGGCAGCUGAAGCAGCGGUGGGCAUCCUGCCUGCUCCAAGAGCUUCUCCCUUCACCCCUGGCUCUGCCAGGCUAACAGUCUUGAGCCACCAAGCUCUGAGGGGCCAAACUGGCAGAGGGUUGGAGAUGAAACAUUGAUUCAGGCUUGGCAGGAAGAAAACGGCAGGAGCAGCACCCACUGGGGUCUCCAAGGCAAAGCUAGAUUCAAGGGCAUUUAAAAACGAAGGAAUCCUGCAAGGAACUGGUGAGGGACACAGCAGCAAGAAAUGGGGAAACAGAGUCCCCAGAAGGGACCAGAGGAAGAGAACCACUUCUCACAGCUAAGCCAAGCAAGAUAAAGCUUUACGGAUAGCCCAUUUCCCAAAUCCCAUCAGGUGCACACCACCGAUCCAGGCGGGCUGGACCCUGCCCCCUCCAGCGACGACGGUCUCGGGGAAAGGUGGAAGGGGCGCCUGCCUAAGGGUGUGCUAAGCGGGAGUCAGGGCAGCGGACACUAUGUACAGGUGUUUCCUUAGUUCUCCAGCCUCCCCAGUAGAACUGUUCAAGUAGAGGUCCCGGGCUUUGGCCCUCCGCAUCCUGCUUCCCCUUCCCUGAGGCUUGUGCUUCCUCCAGAAGGGAAAGGGCCCCAGGGCUGCCACUGCCCCCUGGCGGCUGAAGCCAGAGAUCCGGGGUAGGUUUGCUUUACGCAACUGGAAGGGUCCAAGGCUCUUCCUAGCAGGUGCCAAGGUCCAGAUUUAGGGAAGGGGUGGGGGGAACAGGGACAGGGGACAAAGGCUACUUUUUGCGGGUGUGCUGCCUUCGGGCCUGCAGUCGCUGUCGAGCCCCUGGGGUCUUGGAUCCCGCACCAAUGGAAAAUGAA
rnacentral:lncRNA from 1 species